rnacentral:rRNA from 1 species
UACGGAGGGUGCAAGCGUUAAUCGGAAUUACUGGGCGUAAAGCGCACGUAGGUGGUUUGCUAAGUCAGCUGUGAAAUCCCCGGGCUUAACCUGGGCACUGCAGUUGAAACUGGCAAGCUAGAGUAGGGUAGAGGGGUGUGGAAUUCCAGGUGUAGCGGUGAAAUGCAUAGAUAUCUGGAGGAACAUCAGUGGCGAAGGCGACACCCUGGACUCAUACUGACACUGAGGUGCGAAAGGGUGGGGAGCAAACAGG